GUUUCCUACAACCAGAAAGAGAUGAUGACAUACUUUCAAGACAGGGGCUUCCCCACAAGCUGAGCCAGAAAUGGUGGGAAGUGGCCCUGACUCUGAAAUGACCCCAUUCGCACUGAGCCCUAAACUGCCAGCUCCCCGACACAACCUCUGGGGAUUUCUGGCCCUUUGUGACAAUAUUUUCUGAACCCAGUCCCCAGACCUUAAGGGUCACAGGUGGCUUCUUGGCAGUGCUUCCGGUGCCAGGGGGCUGUGGCCCGUCAGGUCACUGCAAGGACACUGCCAGAGAGGCUUUCUGGGUGAGAGGGUGCCGUUGCCAAGGUGACAGCACAGAGGGCCUGCUUCAAGUGGAGGGCUGGGGAUGGUGCCACUCACUGGAGCCUUCCCCAAGCACACCUCUCCCGAUGUCCCCCACGUGCCCACAAAGUGGGCAUGCAGGAUGGGAUUAACAUCACUCCGUCCCUGCAGUGCCCAUGGGAGACCAUGAUCGUGGGGCACAUGCUGUGACGGCACACUGCCUCUCUUGGUCCUCUGAAGCAAAGAGACUGAUGUUCCCAAGGACCUGGUUUGGAGCCGCCCCCUGCCCCCCGUUCUGCCCUCCCCCAUGCUGGGGUGUGGGAUACUCACCUCAAGUGCCUCUUUGGUAAUGGGGUAUUUCUCCAGGCUGGAGAUGACUUCCAGCACCGCCACCAUGUUCCGGAUCUGUGGAAAUAAAAAGCCAUUUGUUAGGUGCCUGUCCUCUCCCCCUGGGAGGCUGAGACACCCAGCCCCAGGCUGCUUGGGUCUCUCCCCAACCCCAGAGCAAGAGGAGCUGGAAGCACUGAAGCCCACACUCCAGGUAGUCUCCUACCUGCUCCCUGGGCCAACCUGGCACCCAGUGCUCAUCCCCACCUGCCGUUCGACCUCCUCUAGUGCAUGGUGUGUGGUCUGCCCCAAGCCCUUACACAGUGCAUACCCACCCACCUACCUGCUGAAACCCAGGACUCUUAAAUCAGAGCUGCUCCUGAUAGUUAAGACGACCUCUACUCUGCCAUAUGAUGGGAGUGGGAGAGGGGACACUGAAGAAUUCAUUGAAUAAAAUGCACAAAGCUUAGAAGAUCAAUAUAUAGGCCAGGAGUGGAAGCUCAUACCUGUAAUCCCAGCAGUUUGGGAGGCUGAGGCAGGCAGAUCAUGAGGUCAGGAGCUCGACACCAGCCUGGCCAACAUAGUAAAACCCCGUUUCUACUAAAAAUACAAAAAUUAGCCAAGUGUGGUGGCACGUGCCUGUAGUCUCAGCUACUUGGGAGGCUGAGACAGAAGAAUCGCUUGAACUCGGGAGGUGGAGGUUGCAGUGAGCCAAGAUCGUGCCAUUACACUCCAGCCUGGUGACAGAGUGAGACUCCAUCUCAAAAACAAAAGCAAAAACAAAAACCCAAACCAAAAAAGAUAAAUACAUAAUAAACUGGUCAAUUUGAAUGCAUUAACAAGACCUCUUCAUUCAAAGACACCACAAAGAGAGCAGAAAGUCACAAAGUGGGAAAAGACAUAGGCCACAGGCCCCAAGGAGCUGUAUCUAGAACACGCAGAAUACCUGUGCAGCAAUGCAGCUGACCAGGAGCCCGGCGUACAGCGGCCACCAGACAGGAACAGGGACAGCGCAGUGAAAUGUCAGGGCUAAUGCUCCACUUCUCAGCUUUAUCAAUAGCCAGGAAAACACAUGCUGAACCCACAAAUGGAUACAUGACAUGCACCCCAUUGGCAAGGAAUGGUAUUUAACAAUACUAGGUACUUCGGGGGGGCACAGCCGAUGUUGGGGACUGCUGGGCUUUGGCAGAGUGAAGCACGCACACAUCCCAUGACCAGGGAAUCCUUCCCUUUUAGGAUCUUGCUAGGAGCUCCACCUUGUUCUAAGCACUCGCCACACAUUACUGCUUUAAUUGUUACAGCAAGAAUUCCUACAGCUCAACCACCACCUCCGGCAGCUACAGGUUUGUGGUGGGCUGGCUGGUGGGUGAGGGCCCAGGGGCCCUAGGGAAAGAAACCACAGUGAGAUUACACAACUACCCCCCAGAACAUGAUGGAGUAAAGUGGGCACAAGAUACAAAUUAAAACAGCAUAAAAAAGCACACAAGGAAAUGGGCAUCUCUGACCCAGCCACUAUAGUGUUUCCUUGCAUUUUUUCCAAAAAUAUCCCUUUUGUAUACAGGUGUAUAUAUCUACACUUACCACACAUUUCAAAACCAAACUGACCGUGGUUCUGAGCUUUGCCCUUUCUGACUUCACAUCAGAAAUGUUCGGCUCCAAACAGAGCCCCUCAUUUGGCUCACCACGCCUUCCAGAGGGGGGAAAAGGCCUGACUUGAAUGUUGGACACUUAGGCACUUUCCAUUUGCCAUUACAAAACAAGGCUGCAACUGACAACAAUGACAGACUUGACUCUGGGCUGAGAAGCUUGGGUUCCACAUCCGUGCAGGGUGGUCACCUCGUACCCAGGGAGGCUGCUCUAUUCCAUUCCCACCAGGCCAUAUCACUGCCAAGACUGCGUGGCAUGAGUUUCUGUAACACAUGAUUAUAAACUUGGCAUCUUAGCCACAUUUAUCAUCUCAGGCUCUAGGGCUCAGAAGUCAGGUCUAGGUCUCACUGGGCUGGGAUCCUCAUUUCCUGCUCCUUCAGGUGUUAGCAGAGUUCAGCUUUUUACACUGUAGCAAUGAGGCACCUGCUUUCUUGCUGGUUGUCAUCCAGCGGCCAUUCCCAGCUUCUGGAGGGCACUGCAUCCCUCAGCUCACAGGCCCUCCCCCUCUAUGCUCAAAGCCAGCUGCAGGCCGAGUCCUCACCCGGCAUCUCUCUGGCUCAGCCAGGAUAGGUGCCAUCUCUAAGAACUCCCUGACUAGGCAGGGCUGGUCCAGAUCUUGGGUCAUCUCCCCAUCUCCAGGCUCUUCCCUUAGUUUCAUCUGUCAUGUACGGUAUGACAUGCCCAGGCUCCAGGACUAGAACAUGCAUGUCCUUGAGGGCUGUUAAUUCUGCUGGCCUCAUGGAUUCUGGCUUUUCUGCCCCACUUCCAGCACAAGGCAGCCACUACCCUCCCUGUGUUGUUUCCUCUGGGUGUAAAGUUGCAGAGUGGCCACAGAGCUGCCACAAAGCUGCCCCUCUGCCAAUGGUCCCAUUUAUUCCUUGGCAACAACAUCCUUGCCUUGCAAUGUUCUCGUUCAGGGCUCCAAAUGACCCUGAAAACCCUACUCCCAGCUGCGUCAAGGUGAGGGUGGGGGUGGGUGGUGGUCUGAGGAGAUGCAGUCCUGUCCUCACUCCUUGUGCGAUGGGCAGGGAUUCAGUGAAAGGGAGGACUGCACAGUGAGGAGGCCGGUCCCAGACAGACAGCAAGGCCAGCUGCUCCUGGGCCAAGGACUCCAGCACCGACUCAGUCCCUGGACUUGCCACAUGGCUUCACUUCCACACUGGUGACCUCACCCUGGUAUAUUUGGAGCUCUGGUUCCCCACAUACUCCUGAACCAGCAGUCCUGCAGAACAGAACACUGCCCAGGCCCAGCUAGCCUGGUGGCACAAAGUGUCCUUGUCCUUGGGCAGAUACCAUCCUGCUGCCAGACAGGAGGGAGGAGGCAGAACACCUGGGCAACCCCAGGGUCGGGCAACCCCAGGGUCUGGCACCCCAGAAAUCACUGCUGAACCAACAGCCAGCCCCAAGAGCCUCCUGGAAGCUGCAUGGGAGCUGGGGACACCAGGUGAAGCUCUGAGGGCCCUGGCACUUGGAGCUGCCUUAUGAGCCAUACUUAAGCGUGUGCACAGAGGCCUUCAGCCUCCAGGAGGCCCUUGGGCUUUCAGCCCCAAGGGAAAUGCGACCUCCUUGGCAGUCCUCUUUCUGCCCCUAGCGUGUGAGCUGCUUGCCUGAGGAGUAGAGGAGCCCAUCUGCUGUACCUGUAAGGUGCAAGAAACCCACAGUCCUACACCGUCAACAGGUGAACUCUGCCAACACCUGAAGGGGCAGGAACGGAUCCCCCAGAGAGGAGCACAGCCCGCUGCUGCCUGGAUCCCAGCCCGAUGAGCCUGGACCUAACUUCUGAGCCCUAGAGCCUGAGACGAUAAAUGUGUGUUGUGUAAGACAGAGAGAGGGAAAUGUGAAGAAGGGAGGCGGGGCUGGACACGCACAGAAACAGCCUGAGGGAGGGGCUGAAACCCCUCAGAAGCAGGCUGGGUCAGGUGCCUGGAGCUGCGUGAGCAUGCGACACCUCAUUCUCCCACACCCCAGGAGCAGUGGGGAACCCUGUGUACGACUUCACAGCACGCCAUGCUCCGUGGGAGUCAUUAAAGAUCCACCACAAAUCCUCCUUGUUCCUGAAAAAUAAUACAGUCUGAAAUUUGCUACAGAAUCAUCCCCUAGAGCGAGUGACGGGAGGGAGAAAGGUGAAACAGUCACAUGGCUGUAAGCAGCUAUCUACUGAAGCAGGAUAAGGUUACCUUUCUCUACUUUUAUGCUUGAAAACUGUCACAAAUAAAGAUGAGAAAAUA